UUUACAGAGUCUAUUUGACAUACUGGCCGCCUCCAUUACUUCAAAGACAAAUCAUUUUAUAAGUUGGGUAGGUAAGAAGAAGUACAUCAAUGGAGGUGGACAGAAUGCCAAAUUGGCUCUGCAAC
rfam:Gossypium raimondii Chr02_contig_1307, whole genome shotgun sequence.